AUACCUGGUUUCUCUUCACAUCAUAUAAAUCUUUUGCCUUUUACUAAAGAUUAUCAUAAAGAGGAACAGUUAUGAGUUUUUUUAGGGUUUUUAAAAAUGCAUAUGAUUUAUAUAGU
rnacentral:snRNA from 14 species